CCAAAGAAUCCGAUUUUGGGGAAACUGUGGAUGGACUUGUGCUGUUUGCAGGCAUACUAUUUUACCACCGGAAACACCCGAUUUUGCAGUGUAAGUAAAUUAUAAAAUGAUUGCGAGUGAUGGAUAAAAUGAUUUUUUUUCCAUUUUGAAUAGCUUCAUGUGAAUUACGAGCUGGAUCUGUACGUGGCCGCAGCCAACGGGAAGCUGAGAACUAUACCUGGUGCACCUCAAGGUUUCCAAUGCCGAAGAGAGACUGCUUCUGACGUUGGCACUGCUGCUGCUUCUGGACAACUACUGCUGCUGGGGCUACUGCUGCUACUGGGAUUACUGUUGUUGAUGGGACUCUUGCUACCGCUGCUGGCAUUGCUGCCGACCAUAAAUUUUUUUCUCCAAGCAUUUCCGUGAAAACUAUUACAGCAUGGUUCAACGAUCAACUGAAAGGUUCAGAAAGGUUCGAAGGGAUCGGUAGACUAACUUCAGCGGGAAAACCAAGAUACCAAUAGUUCAGCAGUUGCGACAUCAAUCGGACAAGCAAGCCUACACAACUUAAACGCUGCGUUCGUAUACGUGUUUUGUCGUUACCAGGAACAAUUAAAUUAAGUAAUUUAAAGGAAAUCAGAGAAAAAAUAUCAUAUGUUUCCAUUAAACUCUACUAGAAAUUUGGGAAGUUUAGUUUUUAAGACUCUGCGCCACUCUAUUCACUCUGGU